UACGUAGGGCGCAAGCGUUAUCCGGAAUUAUUGGGCGUAAAGAGCUCGUAGGCGGUUUGUCGCGUCUGCCGUGAAAGUCUGGGGCUCAACUCCGGAUCUGCGGUGGGUACGGGCAGACUAGAGUGAUGUAGGGGAGACUGGAAUUCCUGGUGUAGCGGUGAAAUGCGUUGAUAUCAGGAGGAACACCCAUGGCGAAGGCAGGUUACUGGGCAUUAUCUGACGCUGAGGCGCGAAAGCGUGGGUAGCAAACAGG
rnacentral:rRNA from 1 species